CGACAACGGUUUAAAAGUUAGCGUCUUUUCGUUCCCGUCUGAUGAAGCAUUAAGAUUGAAACGGAUCGCUGCAGUUCAUAGGAAUGACUGGGAACCCAGUAAACAGUUCGUUAUAUGUGAACUGCAUUUCACUGCAGACGACAUUGAGAAAAUUACCAGUGCUUACGACCCAAAACUGGCAAACUCUUUACAGUUUACAGCACCUUUGGACCGUCCACGUUUAAAGAAACGUUCGUGAAAAUUUAUCGUAAAGGAUGCUGUACCAUCAAAGUUGCCAGGAUGACCUACGUAUUUAUCUUCAAAACAAGCACCAGCUCGAGAAGAUCCAGAGGGUCGCGAACGUUUGGAGAACCAAGCACUUGAGAAAGUCAUUGAGGAGAGUGUGGAAUCACACAAAAAAAUGAUGGAGAAGAGUUCAUUUGCUAGUUUAGAAGAUUUUAAAUUAAAAUUAUCUGAUUGGGAAAAGCACAGUGACUGGGUCAGGGGUGUUAAAGGAUGCUCCUUAUCUAAGUGUUGUGUGUCAUGUCGUUAUAAAUAGUGAUUUAGUGUUAAGUGCAUUUGUGAAGGAAGCUGAGCUAAAUUGUGCUGGUAAGAUUAAAUUAUCAAACCAAGUAAGUGAUACUGGUACAGUUAGCAAUAUUUUGAAAGAGUUGUAUGUGAUGUUUCAUAUAAAUGAGGCUCCAUUUGAGGCAAGUUUGUCUUGCAUUGAAGACAUUUUGGAAAACUUGUAAGAAAAAUUACCAGAAA